rnacentral:rRNA from 1 species
UCAGGACGAACGCAGGCGGCGUGCUUAACACAUGCAAGUCGAACGGUCUACCUCGACAGAAACCUUCGGGUUGAAGACGAGAUCUAGAUAGUGGCGGACGGGUGAGUAACACGUGAAUAAUCUAUCCUCAAGUUUGGGAUAACCUGGCGAAAGUCGGGCUAAUCCGAGGUAAGCUGAGAGUGUGGCAUCACACAAUCAGAAAAGGUGGCAUUGCCAUCGUUUGAGGAGGAGUUCGCGGUAGAUUAGCUAGCUGGUGAGGUAACGGCUCACCAGGGCAACAAUCUAUAGCUGGUCUGAGAGGACGAUCAGUCACACUGGAACUGAGACACGGUCCAGACUCCUACGGGAGGCAGCAGUGGGGAAUCUUCCACAAUGGGCGCAAGCCUGAUGGAGCAACGCCGCGUGAAUGAAGAAGGCCUUAGGGUCGUAAAGUUCUGUCCUUAGGGAAGAACCGUGGGUAUAGCAAAUGAUACCCACCUGACGGUACCUUUGGAGGAAGCACUGGCUAACUACGUGCCAGCAGCCGCGGUAAUACGUAGAGUGCAAGCGUUGUCCGGAAUUAUUGGGCGU